rnacentral:ribozyme from 13 species
UUGUUUUUCUUUUUCUUGUUUUUCUUUUUCUUCUUGUUGUUUUUCUUUUUUCUUUUCUUCUUUUUGCAACUCAAGAAUUUUUAAAGAGAGAGCAAGGUCAAAGA